CCUACGGGUGGCUGCAGUGGGGAAUAUUGGACAAUGGGGGGAACCCUGAUCCAGCCAUGCCGCGGGUGUGAAGAAGGCCCUCGGGUUGUAAAGCACUUUCAGUGAGGAAGAACGCCUGGUGGUUAAUACCCAUCAGGAAAGACAUCACUCACAGAAGAAGCACCGGCUAACUCCGUGCCAGCAGCCGCGGUAAUACGGAGGGUGCGAGCGUUAAUCGGAAUUACUGGGCGUAAAGCGCGCGUAGGUGGCUUGAUAAGCCGGUUGUGAAAGCCCCGGGCUCAACCUGGGAACGGCAUCCGGAACUGUCAAGCUAGAGUGCAGGAGAGGAAGGUAGAAUUCCCGGUGUAGCGGUGAAAUGCGUAGAGAUCGGGAGGAAUACCAGUGGCGAAGGCGGCCUUCUGGACUGACACUGACACUGAGGUGCGAAAGCGUGGGUAGCAAACAGGAUUAGAUACCCGAGUAGUC
rnacentral:rRNA from 1 species